UACGGAGGGUGCAAGCGUUAUCCGGAUUCACUGGGUUUAAAGGGUGCGUAGGCGGGUUGGUACGUCAGUGGUGAAAUCUCCAGGCUUAACUUGGAAACUGCCAUUGAUACUAUCAAUCUUGAAUACCGUGGAGGUCAGCGGAAUAUGUCAUGUAGCGGUGAAAUGCUUAGAUAUGACAUAGAACACCAAUUGCGAAGGCAGCUGGCUACACGAAUAUUGACACUGAUGCACGAAAGCGUGGGGAUCAAACAGG
rnacentral:rRNA from 1 species